AGAAUUCGGAAAACAAUUAUUAUGUUACAGAGGAGAGGAGAGGAUAACUAGAAAAUUUGGAAUUGAGGCGCGGCGGCGGCCGGCUCCUGGCCGACAAAGGCGGCGAUGGAGCCAAGUUCAAGAUAGGAUUCGACAGGCACCGAGGCAGGAUAAAUGAGAAAUGCGGGCUUUGCGGGAAGCCAAGAACUCAUACCUCACUGGAAUAUUGCCCUUAUGGUUGCAAACAAGCUGAGUCUUGCUAGGCUCAUGCUUGUUUUUUAAGAAUUCUAUUGGACUUGAGAUUGGCUCGUUAAGAAAUUUGCUAAGUUUAGGCUUGGUUUGUUUAUACUAAAUGAGCUUCAAAACAAGCCUUUUCAUGAGCACUAAAUUUAAAACUUGUUCAAAGCA